rnacentral:lncRNA from 1 species
CUCUUUCCAAUUUUUAUUUCUCUUUGCCAUUGCCAUCUGCAUCUCCAUCCCCAUCUCAUUUCAACUUUUUCUUAUCUUCCUUACCCUUUUCCUUUUUCCAACCUCUUCUACUCUUUCCAUUGAAGUAAAAAUUGUUGUUGGUUCUCAUUUAUAGUUGUUGGUUGAAGCUUGUCGGAAAUGGUGAGAACGAAGGUAGUUUGGUCGGAGAAGGUGAGGAGGACGAGAAGAAGGCAAUAAGUUUGGGUUUGGUUUGGAACUGAAACAAGGGGUCAAUGUCAAAAAUUAUUUGAGUUUUUUUGUUUGAUUUUCAACUUAUCUAGGUAGGUUUUCCAAUUUAUUUUCCAAUUUAUUUGUUAUUUAGUUUGGAUUUGAUCUCUAUUUGUGUCUUUGUUUGGUUUUGGGGUUUUAAUCAAUUACAUUGACUUUGUUGAAAUUCUUUGGGGAUUUUGCAUUUUUGUGCCUAAUGUUAGUGUAAGAUAUUUCGGUAGUAGUGUUAUGCCUUCCAUGGUGUUUUUCAUAGAAAAAGAGAGCCAUA